GAAUAUGACGAGACAAACGCUGUGCACCAGUCUGAAAGGUACCUACAAGUACUCAGGUUACCAGUGAAGCAUUAAGUAUACCCAAAUUUCUGAUC
rnacentral:snoRNA from 1 species